GUGGGGAAUUUUGGACAAUGGGCGAAAGCCUGAUCCAGCCAUGCCGCGUGUGUGAAGAAGGUCUUCGGAUUGUAAAGCACUUUAAGUUGGGAGGAAGGGCAGUAAGUUAAUACCUUGCUGUUUUGACGUUACCGACAGAAUAAGCACCGGCUAACUUCGUGCCAGCAGCCGCGGUAAUACGAAGGGUGCAAGCGUUAAUCGGAAUUACUGGGCGUAAAGCGCGCGUAGGUGGUUUUGUAAGUUGGAGGUGAAAUCCCCGGGCUCAACCUGGGAACUGCCUCCAAAACUGCAUGACUAGAGUACGGUAGAGGGUAGUGGAAUUUCCUGUGUAGCGGUGAAAUGCGUAGAUAUAGGAAGGAACACCAGUGGCGAAGGCGACUACCUGGACUGAUACUGACACUGAGGUGCGAAAGCGUGGGGAGCAAACAGGAUUAGAAACCCCAGUAGUCC
rnacentral:rRNA from 1 species